GCCCGAUUAACUCAGUUGGCUAGAGUGUCAGACUUUUAAUCUGAACGUCGGGGUUCGAGCCCCCCAUCGGGCG